AAGAACCUCUCUUAUUUGACCGAUGCGAGACGAGCAUAAAACUGAAAACAUUUUAAAAUACAAUUAUUAUAAAUAUAACAGCUUUAUUACAAUUAUUAAACAUGAUGAGAUUAUGUGAGUUUCAUGGUAAUCAAUAAUUAGAGUGUAUUUGUUAUUUGUAAUAAACAAAUUCUCCAACAAUUGAGAUGCACCGAGCUAGCAUUCCACAUUUCAGAAGAGAUUUUCAUCCAAGUCCAAUUUAGAUGAAAAAGGAGGUCUACGUGACGAAGUUGCCUGCUCAAAAGCAUAAGCAACCUCAAUCAACUUGGGUUCCAUGCCUUUCAAACCCCCAAAAAAGAUCCCAAAUGGCAUUCCAUUGCUUCCAUAGCCAGCAGGGACAGUAAUUGCAGGGUAACCUCCAAUGGCUAGAACUGUAGAAGCAGUCCAACCAAGUGUCACCAUAGCAUCUAACUUGUACUCUUUCAUCAUUUUCUCAAAACCUUUUUUAGAUAGUUUUUUCAUAAACUUCACUGCCUUAUUUUCUUCCUUUCCAAGCCCAUUUGUCAUUUCUGAGGCAAUAAACAGAUCCUGACCAUACUGUUUCAUGUCUUCCAGAUCAGGAUUAUUGUUGUUGAAAGUGAUGAUGUCUGCAAGUGAUCUCACAGGAGAUUUGACAAGUUCUUGAAGGUAUUGAUUAAUUGUCAGCUUGAACUCAGCUAGCAGUACCAUUUCUUCACCACUUUGAUUGGGAUCCAUAAUUACAUCAAUAUUCAGUAUUUGCAGAUUAUCCAACACAGUUGCACCUCCUUGCCUGAACACUUCCAGAUGGUUAUUGAAGGUUGACAGCACAGUUGAAUCAUUGACAAAGCCCGAAAAUGGAAUUCUCACCACUCCCAGUCUCUUAUCUUUGAGUCCAUCAUCUUUUAGAAACUGUUUAUAGCCACCUGCAGGUAUAAACUUAGCAGCUUCCUUUGUUGCUUUGGUGUCUCUUGGAUCAAAACCAACAAUUGCAUCAAGCACAUAAACUGCAUCUGACACUGUCCGGCAUAUUGGCCCAAUUGUGUCCUGGCGAGGAGAGACUGGAAUGACACCAGCACGGCUUGUGAGUCCAACAGUUGGCUUCAGCCCAACAACAGAGUUGAGAUCAGCUGGGCAAAUGAUAGAGCCAUCAGUUUCAGUCCCCAGUGACACUGCUACCAUGUUUGCAGCUACGGAUAUUGCUGAUCCACUGCUUGAACCACAUGGAUUUCCCCUUUCUACAUAUGGGUUCACGCCUUGACCGGCUCUAGCACUCCAAGCAUCGGGAAUCUUCAGCGACCUAAGCGCAUACCACUCCGACUGACUCGCCUUCCCUAAAAUCACAGCCCCGGCGCUUCUCAACCUUUCCACCACCCCAGCAUCACGCGCCACCUCCGACCCAAGCAGCGCGUACGACCCGCACGUCGUGUUCAACCUAUCCUUCGUUCCUAUACUGUCCUUGAGCAGCACAGGAAUCCCAUGCAGCUCCCCCAACGAUUGGCGGCCCUGAUUCUUCUCUCUCUCUCGAUCAGCUUUCUCUGCUUGUUCUAAUGCGUCUGGAUUGAUCUCCACUACACCGUGAAGUAGAGGAUUGAGGGUUUGGAUUUGUUCCAAGUAGAACCUGACUAGUUGUUUGGAGGUUAGCUUGUUUUGAACAAAAGCGAGCUGGAUUUCCUUCGAUGUGGCUUCUUUGAUGGGGAAUUUUGAGGCUUGGAUUAUGUUGAGGAAGCUAAAGAGUAGAAGUAGAGAGAUUAAAGAAGAUGAGAAGAGAUUAAUCUCCAUUUUUGGUCUUUCCAGCCUUCUCG
rnacentral:misc_RNA from 1 species